rnacentral:rRNA from 1 species
GAUGAACGCUGGCGGCGUGCCUAAUACAUGCAAGUCGAGCGAACGGACGAGAAGCUUGCUUCUCUGAUGUUAGCGGCGGACGGGUGAGUAACACGUGGAUAACCUACCUAUAAGACUGGGAUAACUUCGGGAAACCGGAGCUAAUACCGGAUAAUAUUUUGAACCGCAUGGUUCAAAAGUAAAAGACGGUCUUGCUGUCACUUAUAGAUGGAUCCGCGCUGCAUUAGCUAGUUGGUAAGGUAACGGCUUACCAAGGCAACGAUGCAUAGCCGACCUGAGAGGGUGAUCGGCCACACUGGAACUGAGACACGGUCCAGACUCCUACGGGAGGCAGCAGUAGGGAAUCUUCCGCAAUGGGCGAAAGCCUGACGGAGCAACGCCGCGUGAGUGAUGAAGGUCUUCGGAUCGUAAAACUCUGUUAUUAGGGAAGAAUAUAUGUGUAAGUAACUGUGCACAUCUUGACGGUACCUAAUCAGAAAGCCACGGCUAACUACGUGCCAGCAGCCGCGGUAAUACGUAGGUGGCAAGCGUUAUCCGGAAUUAUUGGGCGUAAAGCGCGCGUAGGCGGUUUUUUAAGUCUGAUGUGAAAGCCCACGGCUCAACCGUGGAGGGUCAUUGGAAACUGGAAAACUUGAGUGCAGAAGAGGAAAGUGGAAUUCCAUGUGUAGCGGUGAAAUGCGCAGAGAUAUGGAGGAACACCAGUGGCGAAUGCGACUUUCUGGUCUGUAACUGACGCUGAUGUGCGAAAGCGUGGGGAUCAAACAGGAUUAGAUACCCUGGUAGUCCACGCCGUAAACGAUGAGUGCUAAGUGUUAGGGGGUUUCCGCCCCUUAGUGCUGCAGCUAACGCAUUAAGCACUCCGCCUGGGGAGUACGACCGCAAGGUUGAAACUCAAAGGAAUUGACGGGGACCCGCACAAGCGGUGGAGCAUGUGGUUUAAUUCGAAGCAACGCGAAGAACCUUACCAAAUCUUGACAUCCUUUGACAACUCUAGAGAUAGAGCCUUCCCCUUCGGGGGACAAAGUGACAGGUGGUGCAUGGUUGUCGUCAGCUCGUGUCGUGAGAUGUUGGGUUAAGUCCCGCAACGAGCGCAACCCUUAAGCUUAGUUGCCAUCAUUAAGUUGGGCACUCUAAGUUGACUGCCGGUGACAAACCGGAGGAAGGUGGGGAUGACGUCAAAUCAUCAUGCCCCUUAUGAUUUGGGCUACACACGUGCUACAAUGGACAAUACAAAGGGCAGCGAAACCGCGAGGUCAAGCAAAUCCCAUAAAGUUGUUCUCAGUUCGGAUUGUAGUCUGCAACUCGACUACAUGAAGCUGGAAUCGCUAGUAAUCGUAGAUCAGCAUGCUACGGUGAAUACGUUCCCGGGUCU